rnacentral:sRNA from 12 species
CCUUGACAGUUGCAUGGUGCGACUGACAUUUGCCAAGACAAGGAGAUUGAUAUG